GACGAACGCUGGCGGCGUGCCUAAUACAUGCAAGUCGAACGCAGUGGGGACGGGUGAGUAACACGUGGGUAACCUCCCAUCAGAGGGGAUAACACUUGGAAACAGGUGCUAAACCGAUACUGAUGGAUGGACCCGCGGUGCAUUUGCGAGUUGGUGAGGUAACGGAGCACCAAAGCCACGAUGCAUAGCCGCCCUGAGAGGGUGAUCGGCCAAGCUGGGCAUGAGACACGGCCCAUACUCGUACGGGAGGCAGCAGUAGGGAAUCUUCGGCAAUGGACGAAAGUCUGACCGAGCAACGCCGCGUGAGUUAAGAAGGUUUGCGGAUCGUAAAACUCUGUUGUCAGAGAAGCGGUAUCUAACCAGAAAGCCACGGCUAACUACGUGCCAGCAGCCGCGGUAAUUC
rnacentral:rRNA from 1 species